CUUUUUUUUAUCCCUUUUUUCAGCAAAGGGCUGUGAUUAUGUCCGUAUAGAAAAUGGAAGAAUGACUGACUAUUUGGAACGGAACAAACCAUUUCCAAAAUGGGAGAGACAAACAAUUGACUUUCGUUGUGAUGAUGGUUUUGUGCCUGCGAACCAGCGAACAUGGCAAAGGGCUACAUGCAUCAAUUCCCGCUUUGUCCCAGAACCAAAGUGUUUCAAAAUAUGUGAUCCUUUUAUACGUUUUGAUCAUGGUCACUUCAUUACUACAUAUUAUCACCAUUACUACAUAUUAGAAGGUAACAACAUUACAUUUGUUUGUGAUAAGGGAUAUUCUCCUGCAAACCAACGAUCAAUAAUUACUUGCACCAAAAAGGGGUGGUCACCUGCUCCAGAAUGUAUCCUGCCAGGU